rnacentral:lncRNA from 1 species
GGCUGACUGAAGUGGGAAACUCAAAGAACAAAACGCGCUCGGGCCGCCGGCUUCCCGUCGUCAGAGCAAGGUUUCGUGAAGCAAGGUGGCAUCACGUGAUCCCACUUCGCACGUCACAACGACUUUAGCACCCAUGUCUCCAGUGGCGGGCCUCGUGCACAAUAACACUAAAGAGAUACAGGAAGUAGAACUGUAAUGGCAAAUUAUCUUAUUACGAUCACAUUCAUG